AGUUUAAUCUUGUAUUCAGUAUUUUGCAAAGGACUUGAACCAACAUUUGGUAUCAGAGCAAGGUUGAUGACGGGAGCCGGUUUGAGAGUCGGUUUCAAGUAAGAGAGCAGCCCUUUAGCUGUGGGGCUCAAGAAGAAGCGGAAGCAGUAGAUUUGUAAGAAAAGGCAAGGGCUGAUAACGAAGAACGCGAUUAUCAGAAAGAAAGCAAGCAGGUAUUGUGGAGGUGGUUACUGGAAAUUAAAAGUGAGGUUUGAUUUGUUUGCAAUCAUAAGUCGUGGCAGGAGAAAAAUGAAUUUUGGUGGAGUUGAUUCGCAUUGAAAAGGAAGCAAGUGGUCAAGUUAAUUGAAGGAAGCACCACAAAAUUCAAAGGCGGCGGCUAAGAUUAUUGAACGAACCAGGCAUGCAUGUUGGUGAAGCAAGCAACCACUUUCCUUUCAAAACCCCUGUUGAACAAAAAUGCAAGAAAAUAAGCAGGCAAACUCACACCUCAUUUGUUAUUAAUUAAUUAUUGAAUAUUGAAUGGAUCGAAGAAAGAAGUCAGGAGGAAAAUUAUGUGGUGAUAUAUAUUGUUGAAAGAAGAAAGUGUUGCAAAGAAAGAGAGAAAGAAAGAAAGAUCAACAACCAGAGAAAGAAGAAAGAAAGUCGGUACCGUGAAGAAAGAAGAAAGACGGGUGCCGCACUGGUUCGUUGAUCUCAAAAGAAAGCGGAAGAAAGAAAAUCAGGUAGCAAGUAGCCUGAAGCAAGUCAGCAAGCAAGAGGAGCAAGAUGAUUCGAUGUAAGCAAGCAAGAAUGGAUCGAAUCAAGCAUGAAAACCGAUUCCGGCUAUAGCAUGAUAGCAAGUAACUGAAGCAAGUCGUUUAGCAAGAAUGAAAGAGCCCGGUGGUACUGCAAGAAAGAAAGAAAGUAGCAGGCCGCAAGAAAGAAUGAAAUCGGACCCGAGUGGUUCGUUUAUCAAGAGCAAGAUCUGAGCCAUGUAUGGUUCGUAGCAAGUAGCAAGAUCGGACGUUGCGGUUCGAAUAGAAAGUUAGCAAGCAUGAAGAUUCGAAAGCAAGAAAGUUCGAAUCAAGUAAGAAAGUAGCAAGUUUAGCAAGAUAACUGUUUCGGUUAAGCAAGGAAAGAAAGAACGAGCGCAAGCAAGAACGAGCAAGUAAAAGAAAAGACAUCAAGAUUAAGGGGGUGAAUGUUGGAAUUAAUCUUGAUGUUACGGGUCAAGUCGGUUACCUGUUUUGUUUAAAUGGGUCACGUAUGAUGGGUCGGAUAAGUGCUAAGUUUUAACGGGUCAGAGGGCCCAGUUUUUGGUCUACGUUUGACCUGGUAAUGGAUGACCGAGUUAGCUGGAAUAUGGACGUUAUGGAGCUGUGAACGUUGAAGUUAGUUGUGGGAAAAAAGGGAUACGUGGUUAAUUAAUUUGCAUGUGUUUUUUCUUUGUUUAUUUAUUAUAAAUAGAAUAGUUCGUAGGUUUCUUUUGUGUACCCUCUUUAAAAUAAUAGUAGAAAGUUCUCCUCCAUUUUUAUCUCCUGCAAGUUUUGUGUGUAUAUUGAGAGUGUUGAGAGGGGUCUGAAACCAACAAGAUCCUACAAAAAAAAGUCCAUUUAGUAGCACACACUUCUAGUGGCAUUUAGCUUUUGUGCCACUUAUUUAGGUUUUAGUGGUGCUUUACGUGUGCCACAUUUGCUUAGCACACGUUUUUAGUGGCAUUUAGUCCUUAUGCCACUAAUUUAGAUUUUUAGUGAUACUUUCUAUAUGCCACUAAAAUAUUUGAUAACUUUAUGGUACUUUAUGUGUGCCACUAUUUUCUAAGUACAAACAAAAAGCCAUUUAGCGACACACACUUUUAAUGACAUUUAGAUUUUGUGCCACUAAUUUAGGUUUUUAGUGACAGUUUGCCUAUACCUAUUUGCUUUUAAUGGUAUUUUUAUUUUAUGCCAUUAAUUUAGGUGUUUAAUUACACAUAAAAUUUGCCACUAAGAAUUUCCCUCCUUUAAAUCCCUUGAAUUUUUUGGGUUUCUUCAAUACCGCUGAUUAUUUCACCCCCAAAUUUUUAUUUCCCUCCCAAAUGAGUCUCCGCCAACUUAAACCCUAAUUUCAGUUCUCUCAGAUUUCAUUUCCUCUUAUUCUCUGUACAUGCUCCACUCUCUAGUACCACCCCUCCCUGCCUCAAACAACCUCUGGUUAGGGCUGCAAACCUACGAUUACGAUGGCUAACCUCCGAUUAUGGCUCAUGUAAGUUAUAAAGUUUAUAUUCAUUUGGUUUUUGUGUUAAUACACUUUUCAUAUAUUCUUUUUUGUGGUUUCACAUGGUGGACUGUAUUUUUGUGACUCUUAGAAAUCAUAUUUUGAUCUGCCUGCAUGUAUUAUUGGUGUUUUUACUAUGCUUUAUUCCUUGAGUUCUACAUAUGAUAUAUGCUUUGGUCAGAAGUGAGUAAGAAGUAGGUGUGGGUGACAUUGCUAACUUGUGUUUCAUUGCUCCAAUCGGUUUCUUCUUCUGAAACCCUGAUAUUCGCUUCCAUUCGGCAAGCAGGUAACAAUAAUUCUAUGAAUUGUUUAGCUGAAUUCUUUGAAUUUUGUAUGAAGUUUUUGACAUUUUUUCUGAAUAGAAACCUGUGUGAUUUGGGUUUUUUGAAUCUUGAGAGAAUCAAGAAAUCUUUGAUUUAGGGUUCAAGAAAAGAAACUGUUCUGAUUUGGGUUUUCUAGUUAUUUGGAAAUAAUUAACCUAAUUUUGCUAAAUAGACAUGGAACUCUAAAAUAUCUUUAGUUAAAUUGGUUUAUCUUUGUGUGAUUAUCUCUCACAAUUUUCCCUUUUAUAACCUAUGUUAUUGGUUUUCAUGUUAGAAUAUUAUGUAAUCAACUAUCUUGAGUUCAUCAUUAUUAGUAAUCUAUUUUGGGCCCCCCAGUUUUAAAAUUUCAUUUAUCCAGCAUCCUUCAUUUUGCUACCCACUAGGGAUUUGGGUUUUUAGAAACAGAAACAGAAAGUCGACGGUAACAAUCAGGGAUUAAAGAGGUCUAGGAUUGAAGAGGGAGAAGGCGAGUCGACAAUAGACAUUCGAUCAUGAUUCUCGAAGAUAGAAGUAUACAAUCAAACAAUUUUUGUUGGUGAAUGCUCAUUUACCUAACCCCUCAUUCGUUCACUCUGUUUCUUAUUAUGAUAUCACUUCUGGAGUCAGAACUUGUGCCUUUCGUUGUAGCUUUUUAGUAAUGUUUUAAAAAUUGUUCGUUCUUCCUUAUGAUUGUAAUCGGUUCAAACUUACUAUGUAGUAGACAUGGUAUGCUGGGCGGGAAUCUCGUUUUAUGAAUGCACUGCUGAGUUCAGAUUUUUUUUGGAUGAACAACAAGCUUGUUGAGUUGGGUGCCUGUGAGGCCCCCUCUACUUAUCAUAGAUAUAGAUUUAGCCUCGUUCCUGUUUAUAGUUGUGAUCAUGAGGGGCUUCAAACACCUUAUACAGGGGCGGUACCUUAUUUGAAGGAUGGGCUACUGUUUUAUAACAAGCAUGCAGAUUAUCAAAUGGGUAACACAUCGCCAGUGCUUGUGUGGAAGGAUGAGAGUUGUAGUCAAUAUGUUAUUGGUAUAGAUAACAAAGGACAGGUUCCAAAUCAACAGCAGUAUUCUUUAAGGAUUAACCUUUUGCAAUUACUUUAUAAUUGACAACAAGAAUGGGAUGCCUUGGUGUUAUCCGCGUUUGCAUCAGAGCAACAGCUACAUACCAGGUGGUUUUGGAGCUACAAGAUAACGGGCAGCUGGUUACAUACAAGAGACAGGACUGCGGUCAGGAAAAGUCCAUCGUGCAUAUGCUUUUGCGGAUAGUUACUACAUAGGAAAGGUCCAUCGUGCAUGUACUUUUGCGGAAAGUUACUUCAAGAUUGUAUUCCAAUAUAUAGUUCGUCAUUCACCUCUAUGGAUAGAACAUCUAUUUGCAUCCGCCGGUGUCCAAGUGAACAAGAGAGUAACGAGGUGGAAAUGGUUGGUUGAAGGUUGAAUAUAGUGAAUUGGCUGAUGCGGCGACAAUAAGGAGUAAGUGCAUGGAACAACUAUGAAGUGUGAAAUACGAUUGCUAAGAAAGAGUUAACACAAUGAAUAUUUUACUCGCAUGAAGAUUGUGAAAGAGAUUCAUGAACGCAAUGGAGUUUUGAGUUUUUGUUCAAACAUUUUUUAAAUAUUUGUUUUGUAUGUUCGAUAUUUAGACUUAGGUUGACGCUUAUUAGUUAUUUCUUUGCAAAAAUUUGGAAUCUUUGUAAGAUUGAUUAAACUUUUUAAUUGAAUUGAUUAUAUUAUUAU